UACGGAGGGAGCUAGCGUUGUUCGGAAUUACUGGGCGUAAAGCGCGCGUAGGCGGCUUUGUAAGUUAGAGGUGAAAGCCCGGGGCUCAACCCCGGAACUGCCUUUAAGACUGCAUCGCUUGAAUCCGGGAGAGGUGAGUGGAAUUCCGAGUGUAGCGGUGAAAUGCGUAGAUAUUGGGAGGAACACCAGUGGCGAAGGCGGCUCACUGGACCGGUACUGACGCUGAUGCGCGAAAGCGUGGGGAGCAAACGGG
rnacentral:rRNA from 1 species